ACCCUGGUGCUUGCACCAGGUGAUUAGUGGCGAACGGGUGAGUAACACGUGAGUAACCUGCCCCCGACUCUGGGAUAAGCCCGGGAAACUGGGUCUAAUACCGGAUAUUCACUUCCUUCCGCAUGGAGGGUGGUGGAAAGAUUUAUCGGUGGGGGAUGGACUCGCGGCCUAUCAGCUUGUUGGUGGGGUAAUGGCCUACCAAGGCGACGACGGGUAGCCGGCCUGAGAGGGUGACCGGCCACACUGGGACUGAGACACGGCCCAGACUCCUACGGGAGGCAGCAGUGGGGAAUAUUGCACAAUGGGCGAAAGCCUGAUGCAGCGACGCCGCGNGAGGGAUGACGGCCUUCGGGUUGUAAACCUCUUUCAGUAGGGAAGAAGCGAAAGUGACGGUACCUGCAGAAGAAGCGCCGGCUAACUACGUGCCAGCAGCCGCGGUAAUACGUAGGGCGCAAGCGUUAUCCGGAAUUAUUGGGCGUAAAGAGCUCGUAG
rnacentral:rRNA from 1 species